GAGGGUAUAGCUCAGUGGUGGAGUGCAUGCUUAGCAUGCAGGCGAUCCUGGGUUCAAUCCCCAGUACCUCCA
rnacentral:tRNA from 1 species